rnacentral:rRNA from 1 species
AGAGCGAACGCUGGCGGCAGGCCUAACACAUGCAAGUCGAGCGCCCGUAGCAAUACGGGAGCGGCAGACGGGAGAGUAACACGUGGGAACGCGCCCUUCGGUUCGGAAUAACUCAGGGAAACUUGAGCUAAUACCGGAUACGCCCUUACGGGGAAAGAUUUAUUGCCGAAGGAACGGCCCGCGUCCGAUUAGCUAGUUGGUGAGGUAAUGGCUCACCAAGGCGACGAUCGGUAGCUGGUCUGAGAGGAUGACCAGCCUCACUGGGACUGAGACACGGCCCAGACUCCUACGGGAGGCAGCAGUGGGGAAUAUUGGACAAUGGGCGCAAGCCUGAUCCAGCCAUGCCGCGUGGAUGAUGAAGGCCUUAGGGUUGUAAAGUCCUUUUAACGGGGAAGAUAAUGACGGUACCGUAGAAUAAGCCCCGGCUAACUUCGUGCCAGCAGCCGC